CAUAGGUUUGGUCCUGGCCUUUCUAUUAAUUGUUAGUAAAACUACACAUGCAAGUAUCCACGCCCCAGUGAGAAUGCCCUCUAAAUCAUCUCAACGAUUAAAAGGAGCGGGUAUCAAGCACACUAAAACAGUAGCUCACAACACCUUGCUCAACCACACCCCCACGGGAAACAGCAGUGAUAGAAAUUAAGCAAUAAAUGAAAGUUCGACUAAGUUAUACUAAAUAAGGUUGGUAAAUUUCGUGCCAGCCACCGCGGUCAUACGAUUAACCUAAAUUAAUAGAACCUCGGCGUAAAGCGUGUCAAAGACAUUAACCUCAAAUAAAGUUAAAAACCUAGUUAAGCUGUAAAAAGCUACAACAAAAAUAAAAUAAACUACGAAAGUGACUUUAGUAUGUUCACCCACACGACAGCUAAGACCCAAACUGGGAUUAGAUACCCCACUAUGCUUAGCCCUAAACCUAAAUAAUUCUUUUUUCCCAACAAAAUUAUUCGCCAGAGUACUACUAGCAACAGCCUAAAACUCAAAGGACUUGGCGGUGCUUUAUAUCCCCCUAGAGGAGCCUGUUCCAUAACCGAUAAACCCCGAUAAACCUUACCAACCCUCGCUAAUUCAGCCUAUAUACCGCCAUCUUCAGCAAACCCUAAAAAAGGAACUAAAGUAAGCACAAGUAUAAGACAUAAAAACGUUAGGUCAAGGUGUAGCUUAUGGGAUGGAGAGAAAUGGGCUACAUUUUCUAUUCAUAAGAACAACAAUUACCCAGACGAAAGUCUUUAUGAAACUAAAGACUAAAGGAGGAUUUAGCAGUAAAUUAAGAAUAGAGAGCUUAAUUGAACCAGGCCAUAAAGCACGCACACACCGCCCGUCACCCUCCUUAAAUAUUACUAAACCAAAACCAUAACAUAUUAAUACACGUUAAACAUAUAAAAGGAGACAAGUCGUAACAAGGUAAGCGUACUGGAAAGUGCGCUUGGACAAU
rnacentral:ncRNA from 1 species